AAUACGUUCCCGGGCCUUGUACACACCGCCCGUCACACCACGAAAGUUGGUAACACCCGAAGCCGGUGGCCCAACCCUUUGGGGGGAGCCGUCGAAGGUGGGAUCAGCGAUUGGGGUG
rnacentral:rRNA from 1 species